AUGUUAAUUAUUUUUAUUGAUUAUUUAUUAAAAUUAGGAAUUAUUUUAUUUUUUAUUUUUAUACUUUUAAGUAAUCAUGUGUUUAUAAAUGUUAGUAUCCCAAACAAAAAUAAUAGUAAUCUUACCUAUAUCAAUGAUGGGUAUAUAUAUUUGCACACAAUACCUUUAAAACAAAUUAAAGAUGAACAAAUAAAAUUCCCUACAUCAUUUGAUUUAACUAACCAUAAAAGUAUCUUAUUACCUAAAAAAGAUAUUCCAAUUAAUUAUAUAAAUAAAAACAUUUACGACGAUGUUUUUAAUAAUUUAUUUAUAAUACGUAAACCUAAUGGUUAUAUAAAAAUAAAAAUUUUGGAUAACCUAUUUGAAGGAACAUGGAAAGAUAUAUUUAUAGUGGAUAAAAUUUGUAUAUAUUCUUGUAUAAUAUAUUUUAUUUUAUUUUUUGUUUUAUUCCUGAAAACUUCUACCUUCUUUGAUAUAUUAUACGUAGCAAUAUUUAACACUAUAUCAUAUUUAUCUUUUUAUUUUUCCAUAAAACAAGUUGUUUUAUUUUUUUGUAUGUUUAAUGGAAAUAUAUAUAAUAAAGAUUACAUAUAUAUUAAUAGCAGUAUACAAAAAUUAAAUACACACUAUGAAUAUUAUCUUCUUCUUUUUUUUAAUUUGCAUUAUUGUAUAUCUUUUAUAAAACAUAUUGUUUUGUUCUUUUGCGUCAUUUUUAAUUUAAAGUAUGUCUACAAUGAUAGGAGGAGAAGUCUUAAAAUUGGAGGCAACGCAAACACCCGAGUGCGCUAUUCAACCAGUGUUUACCUACUAUUUCUUUUGUGCAAAUAUUCAUACGCGCCAAUAAAUUUAAACACAUUAUUAUUAGGAAAAAAUAUAUUAAACAAUAUAUUAUUAAUAGAUAAUAUAAAUAUGUAUACAUGGAUUAAUAUAGCAAUUACUGUGCUAUUUAAGUGUAUUCAAAUUUUAAUUAUAAAAAUAAAUUAUUUUUUAAUUGCUCUUUUUCUUCUUCACAUUAUUCUAUAUAUUAUUUAUGCUAUUCAUGCACAAAUAUUAAGAUAUAUAAUUUUAAGAAAAAUUGAAAUAUUAUACACUUUUAAAAAAAUAAUCAUAUCAAAACAUCAAGAAAUUGAGCUAGUACCAUAUAAAUACUCACCUUACAUUACCUGUGAUGACUUGAUAAAAUAUUAUUCUGAGGAGGGCUUUUUUUCUGCAGAAAGCAACAUUAUACCUAUUUUUAUUUAAUAGUAUUAAUUUUGUUUUGUAGUAAAAUGAUGUCAAUUUUAAUAUCUCAAUUGUUCCCCAUUUUUUAAUAUUAUCAUUUAAGUUGUUUUGUGUGAAAUAAGGUUUAGUUUCUGCAUAUUCUCCCAAGUCAAUAUUUAUUUAAUUUUUUUUCAAAAAUUUUCAAUUUUUUUAUAUUAUUUUCUUUGCGUUGGUGUGUGUAUAUAUAUAUAUAUAUAUAUAUAUAUAUAUAUAUAUAUAUAUAUUUAUAUAUGUAUGUACAUGUACGUUAGUUUACUCUUUUUUUUUUUAUAAAAAGCAAAUGUCAUAAUUGUGUUAAAUAUAACAAUAAAAUAUGCUAUUUAUUUAAAUGAGCUAAAUAA
rnacentral:lncRNA from 1 species